rnacentral:lncRNA from 1 species
CCCCCUAAAAAAACCCUUUAAAAUCCCCUUUAAAAACUCUUUAAAAUCCCCUUUAAAAACCCUUCAGCCUCCCCCAAAAAUCUUAUAAAAAUCUUUUAAAAAACCCCAAAAAUCCCUCUAAAAAUCCUUUAAAUUAUUUUUUAAAACCCCUUUAAAACCUCUUUAAAAAACCCUUUAAAAUCCUUUAAAAAUGCCUUUUAAAUCCCUUAAAAACCCCUUAAAAUUCCCUUUAAAUUCCAUUUUUUGACCUUCCCUGCCCCCGAUAAUUACUCCUGGCCGCGAUAUUAAUUAAUUAACGGCCAUUAAUGAUGGGGUUAAUGACGCCUCGUUAGGGUGGGGAAACGCAAGAUUUAGGGCCAGGAGAGGCUUUAAAUGCUAAUUUAUAUUUAAUUUAUAUUUAUUUGCGUUUAUUUUAUAUUUAUAUUUAUUUUAUUUUUAUUUUUAUUUUUUUCCCCUGCUCCGUUUAAUCCUGAAAAUCCCCAUUAAAAAAAUCCUUUUAAUUAAUUAAAAAAAACCCCCAAAAAAUGAAAUAAUUGUGGGGGAUUUUUUGUUUAAUUUUUUGGGGGUUUAUGGGGAUUUUUUGGAUUUUAUGGUUUUUCGGGGGGUUUUCAUGGUUUUUAAUGUAAAAAAUCCAUAAAUAUUCUUAUUUAUCCAUAUGAAUCCAUAUAAAAUCAAUAAAUAUCCUUAUUUAUCAAUAUUUAUCCAUAGAAAAAUCCGCAUUUAGCCAAAUUUAUGAAUAUUUAACCAUAUAAAAAUUCAUAACAAUCAAUAUUUAUCCAUAGAAAAAUCCGCAUUUAGCCAUAUUUACCCACACUUAUCCAUAUUGCUCCAUGUAAAAAAUCCACAUUUAGCCAAAUUUAUCACUAUUGAACCAUAUAAAAAUCCACAUUUAUCAAUAUUUGCCCAUACAAAAAAAUCCGUAGAAAUCCACAUUUAUCCACAGAAAAUCCACAUUUACCAACACAAAAAUCCACAUUUACCAACACGAAAAUUCACAUUUAGCAAUACAAAAAUCCACAUUUACCGACAUGAAAAUCCACAUUUACCAACACAAAAAUCCACAUUUAUCCACGUAAAACCCCAAAACCCGCAGGGACCCCAAAAUCCCCACACAGAAACCCCAAAACCAGAGACCCCAAAAUCCCCCAGAGCCCCCAA